rnacentral:lncRNA from 1 species
CAUGGGAGUGAAGAGGCAGAGGAUCACCGUGAGGAGUGAGUCGCCGGUCGACUAUGCCGCUGAAGCGAGGUACCAGCUCGAGGAGAUCUCCAAGCUCACCUCCAGCUAGAAGAAGAUGCAAGAGGAGUAUGCCUGCUCCCCUUGAGGAGACUCCCAAGCUCACCGCCGCCUGCUGGAAGAAGAUGCAAGAGUAUUGCCUGCCUGCUCCCCUUGAGGAGAUAUGAGACAUCCAGGCUCACCGCUUUGCUAGAUGAAGCCAUGUUUUGGCCCCAAGUUUCCUGAAGUGUAGUGCUGCUUCAGCUGUGUCUUUCUGCCGUGUCGCUCCUCAAAUGUAGUGAUCACUUAAAAACGCUUUUGCUGUCCUGUGUUAUAUAUGUAGACGUUCGGUUUGGAGGACAUCGGAGUAUUCUUCUGUUCUAUCUGUUUGAUCUGCAAAUUCCUUCUCCAUCAGACAAGCAUGAAUGCAGAUCCACUGCUAGCUGAUGUUAAACAUAUGUUCUGAACAAGUGUCCUCGUGGCUUAGUAUGCAAGAAUCACUGCACUAUU